UAAUACGUAGGGUGCGAGCGUUGUUCGGAAUCAUUGGGCGUAAAGCGAGAGUAGGUGGUUUGCUAAGUCGGGUGUGAAAUCCCUGGGCUCAACCCAGGAAGUGCAUUCGAAACUAGCUCACUUGAAGAUGGUAGAGGAAGGUGGAAUUCCAAGUGUAGAGGUGAAAUUCGUAGAUAUUUGGAGGAAUACCGGCGGCGAAGGCGGCCUUCUGGACCAUUCUUGACACUGAGACUCGAAAGCGUGGGUAGCAAACAGGAUUAGAUACCCUGGUAGUCCACGCCGUAAACGAUGGGUACUAGGUGUUGCGGGAAUUGACCCCUGCAGUGCCGAAGCUAACGCAUUAAGUACCCCGCCUGGGAAGUACGGCCGCAAGGUUA
rnacentral:rRNA from 1 species